rnacentral:tRNA from 1 species
ACCUGAGUGGCUCAGUUGGCUGAGCGUCUGACUUUCGCUCAGGUCAUGAUCUCGCAGUUCGUGGGUUCAAGCCCCAUAUCUGGCU